rnacentral:misc_RNA from 1 species
AAAAACUUCGUGGAACAUGUGGAUUGCUAUGUAUAAUUUGGUUCAAGGUCUAACUGCAGCUUGGAAUGGGGAAUUUAUUGAUGCAGAAGAGUCUAUUGCGCAAGCUUGCUUGUUGGCGGGUGGCGAGAGUUGCCUUUUUCUUAGCCAUGGUGUUAUUUGCAUGGAGAUUGCCAGGCAGCAGUCCGAUUCAGAUUUUUUAUCACUUGCUAUUAGAAGUCUGAAGAAAGCAAAAGACAGUUCUUCAACGCCACUACCCUUUGUCUCACUGCUACUGGCACAAGCAGAAGCUAGCUUCGGCUCUGAAUCGAAGUGGGAAAAGAACCUCAUUGAGGAAUGGUCAUCUUGGCGGCCAGAGAUUAGGCCUGCUGAACUGUUUUUCCAGAUGCAUUUGCUUGCUAGACGGCUGACGGAAGGUUCCGUAGCUAUGUCCAAUCUGGAGCCAUCUACAAGUCCUCUAAGAUGGAUACUUCAAGCUAUCCAUAUCAAUCCAUCUUGU